rnacentral:rRNA from 1 species
CAGUAACGGCGAGUGAAGCGGCAACAGCUCAAAUUUGAAAUCUGGCUCCUUUGGGGUCCGAAUUGUAAUUUGUAGAGAGUGCUUCGGGCGAGACCUCGGUCUAAGUCCAUUGGAACAUGGUGUCAUAGAGGGUGAGAAUCCCGUAUGCGACCGUGGCUCGAGCCCAUGUGAAGCCUCUUCGACGAGUCGAGUUGUUUGGGAAUGCAGCUCAAAACGGGUGGUAAAUUUCAUCUAAAGCUAAAUACUGGCUGGAGACCGAUAGCGCACAAGUAGAGUGAUCGAAAGAUGAAAAGCACUUUGGAAAGAGAGUCAAACAGUACGUGAAAUUGUUGAAAGGGAAGCGCUUGCAACCAGACCUGCCCGUAGGCGAUCAGCCGCUGUUCUCAGCGGUGCACUCGCUCCGCGAUCAGGCCAGCAUCGGUUUCGGCGGUCGGAUAAAGGCCUUGGGAAUGUAGCUUCCCCUCGGGGGAGUCUUAUAGCCCUCGGUGUAAUGCGGCCAGCCGGGACCGAGGACCGCGCUUCGGCUAGGAUGCUGGCGUAAUGGUUGUAAGCGACCCGUCUUGAAACACGGACCAAGGAGUCUAACAUCUAUGCGAGUGUUUGGGUGUCAAACCCAUACGCGGAAUGAAAGUGAACGGAGGUGAGAACCCUUAAGGGCGCAUCAUCGACCGAUCCAGAUGUCUUCGGAUGGAUUUGAGUAUGAGCAUAGCUGUUGGGACCCGAAAGAUGGUGAACUAUGCCUGAAUAGGGUGAAGCCAGAGGAAACUCUGGUGGAGGCUCGCAGCGGUUCUGACGUGCAAAUCGAUCGUCAAAUUUGGGUAUAGGGGCGAAAGACUAAUC